GGUUGUGUAGUGUAGUGGUUAUCACUUCAGAUUUUGACAGAGCAUCUGCUUUCCCAACUUCUGAUAACCCCGGUUCAAACCCGGGCACGACCU
rnacentral:tRNA from 1 species